rnacentral:tRNA from 1 species
GCACUGGUGGUUCAGUGGUAGAAUUCUUGCCCUCCACGUGGAAGACCAGGGUUCAAUUCCCCACCGAUGCA